AACGAACGCUGGCGGCGUAGCCUAACACAUGCAAGUCGAGCGAGAAAGUCCCUUCGGGGGCGAGUAAAGCGGCGACGGGUGAGUAAUACAUGGAUAAUCUUCCCUCGAGCCUGGGAUAACCCUGCGAAAGUGGGGCUAAUACCGGAUAAGACCACAUGACACAUGUCACGGGGUAGAAGGUGGCUUGUAUUUAUAUGAGCUAUCACUUGAGGAUGAGUCCAUGGCCUAUCAGCUAGUUGGUGAGGUAAGAGCUUACCAAGGCUAUGACGGGUAGCUGGUCUGAGAGGACGACUAGCCACACUGGGACUGAGACACGGCCCAGACUCCUACGGGAGGCAGCAGUGGGGAAUAUUGGGCAAUGGGCGAAAGCCUGACCCAGCGACGCCGCGUGGGUGAUGAAGGCCUUCGGGUUGUAAAACCCUUUCGUGCGGAAAGAAUAGUCCUGUAGCGAAUAACUACGGGAUUUGACGGUACCGCAGGAAGAAGCACCGGCUAACUCCGUG
rnacentral:rRNA from 1 species